GUACAAUAGAGCUUAUAGGCUAAUGAGAAGACAGGAAGAAACAACAGGAACACAUAUAGCUGGAAUGCAGAUGGGAUCUGUGCUACUUACGCUAGCCAUGGGAUGAUUAGAACAAGAUAAGAGACAUGAGGAAGACUUCUUCAAGGAGGUGCUCAAGCCAUGUUUUGGAAAAGAGAACUCAAGGUCCUCUUCUCCCUGAAGGCUGUCACAGUUCCUGUGCAGAGAGAGAGGGCACUGCAGCACCCAGGCGCUGACUGCCUUUUGUCAGUCUCAUUUGCAGGCCCCCAGCUGGAGAACCCAGGAGGAAGAGGAAAAAAGUUUUUUCCUCCUCUACACUCCCCAUGCAUGACUAAAGAGUAGGAGGAGUCAGCAAGACAUAUAUAGUACCCAGGAGGUGGACAAACAACUGCCUUGGUGGAAACUCUGUCCUUUCUGGACUUAUCCUGGUGCCACUGAGACUGUGCAGAUUUAGAUCUACAAUCCACCUGGAAUUGAUUUUUGUAUAUGGAGUGAGGUCCCACACUUACAGGGAAAGCAUCACCCGAAAGUGAGAAUGCCUAGAGGCAGGAAUCAUGGAGGCUUCCUUAACCGUCUGUCUGCAACAGCAGGUGCUAGAGAUGACACUGCAGAGUAGAGAACAAAGGAAUCUUAGUAAUUGUUCAAUCCAAUCUCCACACUUUAAAGAUGAAGAAACUGGUAUUGAGAAAAAUACACAGCUUAUCCAAGGUUGCACUGCUGGUUGGUAGCUGAGAUGAAUUUAGAACCCACAUCUGAUGACUACACCAUAUUGCUCCCAGUUUUCCUGUCUGUUCCACAUGUAAAAGUCUGACUCUUCACUUCUCCUUUGAGUAUAUAGACUUUUAACAUUUUUGUAUGUCAAGAUGGACUUUUCCUCAUACCCAGCCCCUGCCUUUUCUCCUCCCUUCAUACCUUGCAGGAUCUUUAACAGAAUUUAAAAGGA
rnacentral:lncRNA from 1 species